rnacentral:lncRNA from 1 species
AAUAAUAGUGAGAGAGAAAAGACUGAUCACCCACAAAGAACAAUAACGAUGAACUGAUAGCACUUUUCUAAAUGCAACAAUAGAAGCCAGAAGGAAGUGGAACGAUAUCUUCAGAACGCUGAGAGCGAAGAAUUCUCAACCUAGAAGUAUUCCAGAGAGCGUACCUUCUAUGAAUGCAGAUAAAAUAAAGACAAUUUGUAGAUAAACAAAAACUGCAGCAUUUAUUACCAAGGGACUAAAGUAAUGUCUAAAGAAUCUAUUUCAGGAAGGAGGAUAAACAUGCAGAGGUAGGCCGGGCACGGUGGCUCCCGCCUGUAAUCGCAGCACUUUGGGAGGCCAAGGCAGGCAGAUCAGGAGGUCAGAAGAUCAAGACCAUCCUGGCUAACACGGUGAAACCCAAUCUCUACUAAAAAUACAAAAAAUUAGCCAGGCGUGGUGGCGGGUGCCUGUAGUCCCAGCUACUCUGGAGGCUGAGGCAGGAGAAUGGUGUGAACCCGGGAGGCAGAGCUUGUGAGUAGCUGGGAUUACAGGCAUGUGCCACCACACCUGGCUAAUUUUUGUAUUUUUAGUCGAGAUGGGGUUUUACCAUGUUGGCCAGACUGGUCUCGAACUCCUGACCUCAGGUGAUCUGCCAACCUCAGCCUCCCAAAGUGCUGGGAUUACAGGCAUGAGCCACCACGCCUGGCUCUCUUUUUUUGAGACAAGGUUUCACUUUGUUGCCAAGGCUGGAGUGCAAUGGAGCAAUCUCGGCUCACUGUAACCUCUGCCUCCUGGGUUCAAGUGAUUCUCCUGCCUUAGCCUCCUGAGUAGCUGAGACGAGAGGUGCACACCACCAAGCUCGGCUAAUUUUGUAUUUUUAGUAGAGACA